GCAGACUAGAGUGAUGUAGGGGAGACUGGAAUUCCUGGUGUAGCGGUGAAAUGCGCAGAUAUCAGGAGGAACACCGAUGGCGAAGGCAGGUCUCUGGGCAUUAACUGACGCUGAGGAGCGAAAGCAUGGGGAGCGAACAGGAUUAGAUACCCUGGUAGUCCAUGCCGUAAACGUUGGGCACUAGGUGUGGGGGACAUUCCACGUUUUCCGCGCCGUAGCUAACGCAUUAAGUGCCCCGCCUGGGGAGUACGGCCGCAAGGCUAAAACUCAAAGGAAUUGACGGGGGCCCGCACAAGCGGCGGAGCAUGCGGAUUAAUUCGAUGCAACGCGAAGAACCUUACCAAGGCUUGACAUGGACCGGACCGCCGCAGAAAUGUGGUUUCCCCUUUGGGGCCGGUUCACAGGUGGUGCAUGGUUGUCGUCAGCUCGUGUCGUGAGAUGUUGGGUUAAGUCCCGCAACGAGCGCAACCCUCGUUCUAUGUUGCCAGCGCGUGAUGGCGGGGACUCAUAGGAGACUGCCGGGGUCAACUCGGAGGAAGGUGGGGACGACGUCAAAUCAUCAUGCCCCUUAUGUCUUGGGCUUCACGCAUGCUACAAUGGCCGGUACAAAGGGUUGCGAUACUGUGAGGUGGAGCUAAUCCCAAAAAGCCGGUCUCAGUUCGGAUUGGGGUCUGCAACUCGACCCCAUGAAGUCGGAGUCGCUAGUAAUCGCAGAUCAGCAACGCUGCGGUGAAUACGUUCCCGGGCCUUGUACACACCGCCCGUCAAGUCACGAAAGUUGGUAACACCCGAAGCCGGUGGCAGUAACUGCUUUGUGCUCGAGAGC
rnacentral:rRNA from 2 species